GACGUAGGGCGCGAGCGUUGUCCGGAUUUAUUGGGCGUAAAGAGCUCGUAGGCGGCUUGUCGCGUCGACUGUGAAAACCCGCGGCUCAACUGCGGGCCUGCAGCCGAUACGGGCAGGCUAGAGUUCGGUAGGGGAGAUGGAAUUCCUGGUGUAGCGGUGAAAUGCGCAGAUAUCAGGAGGAACACCGGUGGCAAGGCGGGGUCUCUGGGGCCGAUACUACUGAGGAGCGAAAAGCGUGGGGGAGCAACAGGAUUAGAUACCCCCAGU
rnacentral:rRNA from 1 species